rnacentral:ncRNA from 2 species
GCUGCCGCUCCGGGGUGCACAUCCGUGCUGAGAUGGCCAUCACGCCGAACCCGCGAACUUGAUCCGGUUCAUACCGGCGGAAGAAGAGCUGAAUCUGUCCCU